GGUUAUACGAGCGACCCAAAUUGAAAGAAAACGGCGUAAAGGGUGGUUAUAAAUUUUUAAAAAUAGAGCCGAACUUACUCCUGACUGUUAUACGUUACGAAAUAAAGAAGAACAAAUACGAAAGUAGCUCUAAAUAUUUGAACCCACGAAAGUUAGGAAACAAACUGGGAUUAGAUACCCCACUAUGCCUAACCAUAAACCCUGAUAAUUUAAUACAUCCAUUAUCCGCCAGGGUACUACGAGCGUAAGCUUAAAACCCAAAGGACUUGGCGGUGCUUUAGACCCCCCUAGAGGAGCCUGUUCUAUAACCGAUAAUCCCCGUUAAACCUCACCCUCUUUUGCCAAAUCCGCCUAUAUACCACCGUCGUCAGCUUACCCUUUGAAGGUUUACUAGUAAGCAUAAUUGGUUUAACCCUAAACGUCAGGUCGAGGUGCAGUGAAUAAGAGGGGAAGAAAUGGGCUACAUUUACUAAAACUAGUAAAUACGGAAAAUGUACUGAAAUGUACUUUAAAAGGAGGAUUUAGUAGUAAGGAAUGAAUAGAGUGCAUUUCUGAAACUGGCCCUGAAGCGCGCACACACCGCCCGUCACUCUCCCCACAAAAUAAACUCAGACUUCCAUAAAACCAAAAACAUAUUUAUUAGGGGAGGCAAGUCGUAACAUGGUAAGCGUACCGGAAGGUGCUCUUGGAAAACCAGAGCGUAGCUAAAUAGUACAGCCUCUCUCUUACACC
rnacentral:rRNA from 1 species